AACGUAGGGGGCAAGCGUUAUCCGGAGUAACUGGGCGUAAAGGGCGGGUAGGUGGUUGUGUAAGUUGGUUAUGAAAGCUCCUGGCUAAACUGGGAGAGGUUGACCAAGACUGCAGAACUUGAGUGGAGAAGAGGUAAACGGAAUUCCGCGUGUAGUGGUGAAAUGCGUAGAGAUGCGGAAGAACACCAGUGGCGAAGGCGGUUUACUGGUCUCCAACUGACACUGAGCCGCGAAAGCUAGGGGAGCAAACGGG
rnacentral:rRNA from 1 species